rnacentral:rRNA from 1 species
UACGAAGGGGGGCUAGCGUUGCUCGGAAUCACUGGGCGUAAAGCGCACGUAGGCGGAUUGCUAAGUCAGGGGUGAAAUCCUGGAGCUCAACUCCAGAACUGCCUUUGAUACUGGAGAGCUCGAGUCCGGAAGAGGUGAGUGGAACUCCGAGUGUAGAGGUGAAAUUCGUAGAUAUUCGGAAGAACACCAGUGGCGAAGGCGGCUCACUGGUCCGGUACUGACGCUGAUGUGCGAAAGCGUGGGGGAGCAAACAGG